rnacentral:rRNA from 1 species
CCUACGGGUGGCAGCAGUGGGGAAUUUUGGACAAUGGGCGCAAGCCUGAUCCAGCCAUGCCGCGUGUCUGAAGAAGGCCUUCGGGUUGUAAAGUACUUUUGUUAGGGAAGAAAAGGCAUAUGCUAAUAUCAGAUGCUGAUGACGGUACCUAAAGAAUAAGCACCGGCUAACUACGUGCCAGCAGCCGCGGUAAUACGUAGGGUGCGAGCGUUAAUCGGAAUUACUGGGCGUAAAGCGAGCGCAGACGGUUACUUAAGCAAGAUGUGAAAUCCCCGAGCUCAACUUGGGAACUGCGUUUUGAACUGGGUAGCUAGAGUGUGUCAGAGGGGGGUAGAAUUCCUCGUGUAGCAGUGAAAUGCGUAGAGAUGUGGAGGAAUACCGAUGGCGAAGGCAGCCUCCUGGGAUAACACUGACGUUCAUGCUCGAAAGCGUGGGUAGCAAACAGGAUUAGAUACCCUAGUAGUC